AGUGAACGCUGGCGGUAGGCCUAACACAUGCAAGUCGAACGGCAGCACAGUAAGAGCUUGCUCUUACGGGUGGCGAGUGGCGGACGGGUGAGGAAUACAUCGGAAUCUACUUUUUCGUGGGGGAUAACGUAGGGAAACUUACGCUAAUACCGCAUACGACCUACGGGUGAAAGCAGGGGAUCUUCGGACCUUGCGCGAUUGAAUGAGCCGAUGUCGGAUUAGCUAGUUGGCGGGGUAAAGGCCCACCAAGGCGACGCUCCGUAGCUGGUCUGAGAGGAUGAUCCGCCACACUGGAACUGGGACACGGUCCAGACUCCUAAGGGAGGCAGCAGUGGGGAAUAUUGGACAAUGGGCGCAAGCCUGAUCCAGCCAAACCGCGUGGGUGAAGAAGGCCUUCGGGUUUUAAAGCCCUUUUGUUGGGAAAGAAAAGCAGCAUGUUAAUACCCCGCUGUUCUGACGGUACCCAAAGAAUAAGCACCGGCUAACUUCGUG
rnacentral:rRNA from 1 species